rnacentral:rRNA from 1 species
UACGUAGGGGGCUAGCGUUGUCCGGAAUCAUUGGGCGUAAAGAGCGUGUAGGCGGCCCGGUAAGUCCGCUGUGAAAGUCGGGGGCUCAACCCUCGAAUGCCGGUGGAUACUGUCGGGCUAGAGUGCGGAAGAGGCGAGUGGAAUUCCUGGUGUAGCGGUGAAAUGCGUAGAGAUCCGGAGGAACACCAGUGGCGAAGGCGACACGCUGGGCCGUACCUGACACUAAAACGCGACAGCAUGGGGAGCGAACGGG